rnacentral:rRNA from 1 species
AUCAUUACACAAAUAUGAAGGCGGGCUGGACUUCUCGGGGUUACAGCCUUGCUGAAUUAUUCACCCUUGUCUUUUGCGUACUUCUUGUUUCCUUGGUGGGUUCGCCCACCACUAGGACAAACAUAAACCUUUUGUAAUUGCAAUCAGCGUCAGUAACAAAUUAAUAAUUACAACUUUCAACAACGGAUCUCUUGGUUCUGGCAUCGAUGAAGAACGCAGCGAAAUGCGAUAAGUAGUGUGAAUUGCAGAAUUCAGUGAAUCAUCGAAUCUUUGAACGCACAUUGCGCCCUUUGGUAUUCCAAAGGGCAUGCCUGUUCGAGCGUCAUUUGUACCCUCAAGCUUUGCUUGGUGUUGGGCGUCUUGUCUCUAGCUUUGCUGGAGACUCGCCUUAAAGUAAUUGGCAGCCGGCCUACUGGUUUCGGAGCGCAGCACAAGUCGCACUCUCUAUCAGCAAAGGUCUAGCAUCCAUUAAGCCUUUUUUUCAACUUUUGACCUCGGAUCAGGUAGGGAUACC